rnacentral:pre_miRNA from 1 species
UUGAUGCGUUCACAGUGUACAGAUGUGGAUAUAGGAGGGUUAGUUAGCACAUAUAUACAAAACCCAUUUAAUAGAGUUUCUGUGAGAGCAUCUUAUUGUAGAUUGUUGGCUAUUCGAGAUCAAACAACUUAUUGUAGAUUGUUGGCUAUUCGAGAUCAAACAACCGUGUUCAAUCAACUGCAUUUUGAUGGCCAUACUCAUCAAAUGGUUUGCCUGUUUGUCUUUACCAGCCCUUAUGCUAUCCACAACCUUAUUAGUAGAUUGUUGACUGUUCAA